UUUCGCAUUGAAAUUUUUGGUUCGGAUGUGAAUUUUAUCACGCCGAUUAAAAGGGAAUCAGGAAAAAGUUGGAAGUACGAGAUUAGAAGUUAGAAGUUUUACUUCAAUUUCCUACCUUCUAACUUUAUUAAGCCUGAGCUGUUCCCGCAACUGUAAGCUUAGUCUGUAAAAGGACGCUUGUUGUUAUCACUUCAAAAACCACUGUUCUUUUGUGAACGGGAAGGUAAACAACAAGACGCGAGCCAGGAGACCUGCCAGAAUAUAACCAAUAAA
rnacentral:ncRNA from 1 species